AGCCCUGUGGUGUAACCAUGUUGGAUUGCAAACCCAAAGAUGUAGGUUAAUCGCCUACCGGGGCUU
rnacentral:tRNA from 1 species